rnacentral:rRNA from 1 species
GAACAAGCUACAGAGAGUACGAGGAGGAUGCCUAGGCGCUCAAGACCGAUGAAGGACGCGGAGACCGGCGAAACGUUCAGGGGGAGCUGCAUACAAGCGAAGAGCCCUGAGUAUCCGAAUGGGGCAACCCCUCCAGAGUGAUGUCUGGAGACC